ensembl:lncRNA
GUUCCGUGCUGCGCCAGCAGGCAGAGCCGCGGUUAAUGAACCGUAAGCAGUACCUGGAGGCCAAGCGGCUGCUCAAGGAGUUCCAGGAGCGCUACCGGCGGCUGGUGCGCGGCUCUCUGCGGACUGUGUUCGGGGCCACCCCAGCGCCUCCAGCUCUGCCGGCGCCCAGCGAGAGCCCACCCAAGUUUGGCCGCUUCCUCGAGCUCAUGGACGAGUUCUGCCAGGAGCCCACAUCCAGUGACUCAAAAACCUAGGGCUGUGCGUGGGUCAUGUGUGCUGCCUGGCCAGCGGCCCCGUCCUCCCUGAGGCCUCUGCACCCCUGAACGUGCCUCUGCCCGGCUGGGGCCUAACUUGGGCCUCCGAGCUUGCCUUGACCUUGCUUGCUGGUCACAGAGUGAGGAGCUCGUCAGGACCUCACACUGGCCCAGCAGCAAUAAAGAGUGGGUACACAGAGCCGCUGAGUGGGCGCCAGACAUUCUUCCUUGAACGCCAGGCCAGGAGCACAGCAACAUUGUCACACUGGGGAGAAGUCCUUGCUGGUGUAUUCACCUCAAAGGUCCUGUGGGAAACUCACUGGAGUCAUGCAUAAACAGCUGUGCUUUUUCCAUCGUAAUGAGGAAGAGGAGAUUGAGUGUUCCCUUAUCAGACAGCCACAGUCACAAAGGUGGGGCAAGUAGGGAGGGUUUAUAUGGAGUUUCCCAGGGUCCUUCUGUGAUCCAAGACACAAGCUAAAGAUACAGAAGCAAACACAGAAGGCCAUGGCUCCAAAACACACCUUGCGGCUGUGCAAAGUCACAGGGGCUUCCAGAAAGUAAAUAGUUCUGACAGUAGGCUGUAGGGUUGCCCCAUGCUUGAUGUAUGAUUAGUAGGCAGCAGCACAUAUGGAUUCCAGGGAUGAUGCUGGGUAUGACCUAGUCGUGUGAGCAACCCUUUCUCCUCUCCUGAGGAUGCCUGUAAUUCAGACCUUGGUAGCAGGCCUGCAGUUCCCAGGGUCUAGGAAGUAGUAGCUCAAGAAUUAAGGAUCCUCAGCAAGGUACAUCCCCACAACCUAAACUGUAACUAAAUAUUUGCAUACUAUUGUACUCAACUGCAGUUUCACAAGUGGCCAGUUAAAUUUUUAUACUCAGCUUGGGCACCCCCCACACAUGUAUACACACACACAUAUUCAUCAUCACAGCAUGCUAUACAGGUCACACCGAGUGACAAAAGGUAUGACUCUGUUGAUACAGGCACCUGAACAGAUGUAGGUAAUAUAUUGUAACCCACAACAGCAGUCAUAUGCACAGGAAUGUUGCUCACCAACUUGAAUUUCCUGGGCCCCUAAACUACCCUCCCCACUGUCACGCUCACCAGGUUCCAGUUCUGACAGCUACCUGGAUUGUGCUUUCAGCCAUAAAUAUCAAACCAUAGGCUCCCAGAUCUCCAAGGCUCCUGGGCAUGUCCAUCCCAAUCUCAAGGAAGGCAGCUUCUUGCCACCUCCCUAGUAGUUGAGAUACUGUGUGCACAUCUAGUGACUGGGAGCUUGUUCCCUCCAAAGGCUGUCCUUUCCUUUGUUGGAAAAGCUGUUGGACAGUUCAAGCCAUUGAGUUGUUCUGCCUAUGUGCCUCAGUGGUCCCAGUUAUGCUUUUUCAGCCAAAAGUAUAUCUGCUGUCUGCCCACCCAAGUCAACCCUUCAUUAAUGUCAGAGUAUCCUGAAGGGGGACACUUGGGCCAAACACUACUUUCUUAGUUAAGGAUAAAUAAAUUGGUUGCUUCUCCUAGACUUGCAGAGAUUCCGCUGCUCAUUCUAAAUUUCUGAUCUAAGCUUUCUUAUCAUGGAGCUAUAGAGAAUGGUAGAUUUUGUGCUCCUUUUCCCUCACCCAUAACCAAAUGCUAUCAGUAAAGGACUGCCAAGAAGGAAGCCAGUACCCAGUGACUGCCCCUUCUCUAGGAAGACCUGACAAGACCACAUGGUGCUGUUUCUUACUCACCUUUCAGCUGCAGUUCAGGUGUCCUUUAGUCUUUCCAAACUGAACCGUUUUCCUAGUCAUGGAUCCAAGACACCAGUGAGCACCUUAGGAGUCAGAUGUGGCCAGAAGAAAGGUGAUGUGAUGCAAAUUGUGCCUCACAUCCCUGCUGCCUUAGGAUGCCUCCCUCCCCUACAAGUGGGUACAGAGGGAAAACUGUGGUCUCUAUCCCUGCCAGUCCCAGCCGACAGCAGGGUGGGGUGUAUGGGUGUCUAUCCCAGAAGACAAUUGGAAGGCUAGUUGUAGAGUGGGAUCACCCUAAGGUUGGUUUAGGCCAAGGUAGCAGAAAAAGCAAUUAGCAGCUUUGGAAUCAGAAGCUUCUAGACUAUGAAAAACUGUCUGGUCCAUCUGUAAAUGAGGACCACACCACCCAUCAUACCUAGCUAUGAGGGAUUUAAUGAGUGGCACACAGAGUAGUUAGUUUAGGGACUGAGAGACAACCAAGUACCGUUCUCUCAUUUCCAACUAGUUGCACUGUUCAUUUUAGCCAGCCUUCUUUUGAAGGUCUUGGGCCAGAUUAUUUCAAAGGUCUCUCAAGUGCUAGUUUACCAUGUAUGACAUUUACUCCUAACAAUCUUCCAAAUUAAUUUCCCAAGUUUAGAUAGAAAAAAGAUACAUGCUGAGUAUUUUGAAUUCCUAAACAAUUGUUCCCAAAAAAGGACAUUUACAAAAAUCAGAUUUCUAAGUACAGCCCUAAUGUGCAAGGGACAGUGUCAUCCAUAUUCAUUCUUUACUCAAAUUUUCUUGGUGCCUCUAUUAGGAAUAUGAAUAUAAGGAUGACAGUAAACUGUAGAUAACUUACAUUAAAAGAUGUAAUUGUACACUGUGUAUAUAAAUUCUAUCCCACUUCCUAAUAUCUCCCACCAUUCUGAAGGCCAAAGAAGGUCAUUCGAAGGUAUUCCCCAGCAUAAAGAUAGCACUAAAAGUCAAACAACACACAGUCUAAGCUUAUCCCAUGUUUGUCUGAGACUGUUCUUUAGAGACAAGAAUUUGUUUAGAAACAACAUUUUCUUUCAUGAAUUUGCUUUACUGUAUUCUCAACUUGGGCCUUGCCUCAAGCAGGCAAAUACACAUUGAAGAAUGCACUUUGGUACUGUAAAUAAACAACACAUCAUCCCACUUGAUUCCACACCAUUUCAUUGUGGCAGAAGCAUCCUGAUAGGGCAUGGCCUUUUCCAAAUCUUUGUCAAAAUUAUCUUUAUAAUGAGUUGGAGAAGUGGCAGCCUGAAGUGGUAGUCCCCAAGGAUCCAGGCCUCUUCUCCAAUUCUAUUGUAGACAGCAGGUUGUAUACAUUGUAACCACUAGAUCACCAGGGAGCCACAGCAGGUUAAAUAAAGCCAAUAGACAACCAUUUUCUAUUUCUAGGCAGAAGGGGCAAAGGCCCUUUGGACAACUGUAUUAUACAAAGAACUGAGUAAACAGCACAUCAGGCAUAAAAGGAAAAAAAUCUAUUAGUUGGCAUUUAAAAUAAUCAUUUUUCCCCUUGCAUAGUACCUAUUCUCUUACUAGGACUUAAGUGCUCUGCUGGGAGGCUCAAGGUUAGUGAUUAUCAUGUCUGAUACAAACCUGACUGAGAGUGAGAGCCCCACUCACACUGGUGCACAGCUUGGAGGGGAGGCAGCGUCAACCAGGGAGAAGCCAAAUGCUGCCACAUUAAUCUGGAACCAGGGCCACAAGCUACUCUUGAGCUGUUAAGGGCUUUAUAUUUGAAGAGUGCAUUGUCUGUACCUCAUAUUAAAUAAAAUGAAAGAAAGAGGAACAAGCCUUGCCUAGCCUUGGCUAUGUCCAUGUCUUUCUUAAGCCAGAAAAAAGAUAGGGAGGGAGUCUGCUCAGAGUUUGAGGUUGCCUCUCACAUAAUUAAAAGUUGCCACCUUCUUGGCAAGAUAUUAAGGAAGCAUGUACUCACAAAGAAGAGAGUACUUUUCUUAGAAAAAAUACUGAUAAUACAUAGAACAAUCUGCAUAUUAGGUUUUGGCACUUUUUCCUUCAUCUAAUUUGAUUAAUCUCUAAACUGGUGAGCUCUGCAUAUCUCUAAGUCUGUACAGAACAAAUAUUCAGAAAGCUAUAGUGGAUGAUGCACAUGUGUAAAGAUGCAUUUCUGGGCCACCUUAAUUCUAAUCAGCAGCCUCAUUCCCUAGAAUCUGCUCCCACCUCCCCAUAGACCUGCUUUCUCUUGGGUCCCCAAAAUACAUAAUGAGCCACGUUCAACCUACUGACCAGGCCAAAAAACCAUGUAUGGGCUGACAGGGGAAAGGCUAACAAAAGAUUUAAGACCCAAACGAGUUUCCAAUUUUGAAAAAAAAAAAAAAAAUCAAUGGCUCGCUAGCUUUUAACCAUUGGUAAUUAAAAUGGCAAUCGUAACCAAAAUAUGUCCCUUCUCAGGAUUAUACCUUUGUAUUCCACUGUGGGGCUUUUCUCUACCUGAGCAUAUAUAUUCAGGGAAUAUGGGUGCAUUUUAACUGAAGAAAAUCAGAAGAGUGAGCUACUUUUAAAAGUUCCUUUUAAUUUGGGUGUCCCCUUCAUUUGCAAAUCGUGUUGCAUGCAUAACUUUAUUUAUUCAGGCCCCAAAACACUACACAUAAAAUAGUACACAGGGCACCAGAUCAUCAUUUGUUUAAAAAAAAAAGAAAGAAAAAAAAAGAGGGAUAGAGGAAGUUUGAUAGUUUCCAUGCUAUUCUAGCUGGAAUAUACCAUGAUUAUAAUGUAGCCUUUAUUUUUCUUCCUCCUGCUUCCUGCUGGCCUUCCACUGCAAUGAAGAGCCAACAGUAAAAAGGAAAGAAAUCCCAAGUUGCUACCAGCUCUAAUGAGAGGUCAGGAUGGGGAAGAGAUUAGGUGGUUACUAAAAUAAGGGGUGGACCACCUGUGACCAUGUCAGCAAUCUAAACCUGCCUCAUUUCUUGGUGCUUGAACUAAAAGCUGCUCCUGAAGAGAAGUUAUAUUGUUCCAUAAUUACUACAGGAGAAGAUUCAUUCUCCCCUGGUAAAAUUACUUAGGGAAUAGAAAGCAAUGUUAUGAUCAAUUUCAUAAAUACUGGUGGGUCUCUAUAAAAAGUUCAAGGCAGCCUGCUAGGUAUAGGGCAUCCUAAACAAGACCAUUGAAGAACACUGUUAUAAAAGAAAUGGCCUUUUUUAAGACCAUUAACACAAUCUCCAACUACACAUACAUUCAAAUAUAUUCCACUGGACACUGAGUUCCUGAAGAUCAAGGACUAUCUUUCCAUCUUUGAAUCUCCACAAUCCAGCACAGGGUUGGCACAAACUUAAGAGCCUAAGAAGUAAUCUGUCAAAGGAACUGAAAGGAUGAAAAGCAACCAGACAACAGUAGCAGUCUCCUGUUUUAGCUGGUUUGCUAGUUUGUAAGCAGACAGCAAUUACUUAAGUGCUUUAAUCUCUUAGGGGCAUUUUUAUAUGGAAAAAUGAACAAAAACAAAAGAAAACACUUUAUGACUAGUACUUCUUCCAAGGAAAAAUUUAAAAAUUAAAAAAAUAAAUGAAGCCACUUAGAAAACCUUUCCCUGGCAAGCCUCAGCCAAAAAGGCUUAAUCAUAUUUUAAAGAGGUAAUUAAAGGGGCCAGGGGACUGGGUGCCUAACCCUCUCUGAGUUGAUGCCAACCCAACAGGCCCAUAUGUCUUCUAACAGAUACAAUCAAUGCGUCAUGGAACAUGUUCCCAAAAUGUCUUUCCUUCUCUGUGGAAAAGGGCUAAGAACACCCCUUCUGAGGGUGCCACAUUUCUUGGGAUUUCCCACCAGUAUGGCCCCUAUCCUCCCAUCUCUCAUGACUUCCCCUUUAAUAAGAAAAGAAUCCCUAUACACAAGAACAGUUAGUAAGACAAGGGAAGAUUGUAGAAUGACUUGAAUUUCAAUGAUUUUUAAAUGCUUGAUAGGUGAAAUACUGUAUCUCUUAUUCUAGCAUACCAUUGUUCCCCAUCAUUUGGUUUUCCUUCCUUGUAUUUUUCUUCCCCACCCCACCAAAGAAC